rnacentral:rRNA from 1 species
ACGCACGCUGGCGGCGUGCCUAAUCCCUGCCCGUUGAGCGAUGAAGAUUGGUGCUUGCACCAAUUUGAAGAGCAGCGAACGGGUGAGUAACGCGUGGGGAAUCUGCCUUUGAGCGGGGGACAACAUUUGGAAACGAAUGCUAAUACCGCAUAACAACUUUAAACAUAAGUUUUAAGUUUGAAAGAUGCAAUUGCAUCACUCAAAGAUGAUCCCGCGUUGUAUUAGCUAGUUGGUGAGGUAAAGGCUCACCAAGGCGAUGAUACAUAGCCGACCUGAGAGGGUGAUCGGCCACAUUGGGACUGAGACACGGCCCAAACUCCCACGGGAGGCAGCAGUAGGGAAUCUUCGGCAAUGGACGAAAGUCUGACCGAGCAACGCCGCGUGAGUGAAGAAGGUUUCCGGAUCGUAAAACUCUGUUGGUAGAGAAGAACGUUGGUGAGAGUGGAAAGCUCAUCAAGUGACGGUAACUACCCAGAAAGGGACGGCUAACUACGUG